GAUGAACGCUGGCGGCGUGCCUAAUACAUGCAAGUCGAGCGAACAGACGAGGAGCUUGCUCCUUCGAUGUUAGCGGCGGACGGGUGAGUAACACGUAGGUAACCUACCUAUAAGACUGGGAUAACUUCGGGAAACCGGAGCUAAUACCGGAUAAUAUUUCGAACCGCAUGGUUCGAUAGUGAAAGAUGGCUUUGCUAUCACUUAUAGAUGGACCUGCGCCGUAUUAGCUAGUUGGUAAGGUAACGGCUUACCAAGGCAACGAUACGUAGCCGACCUGAGAGGGUGAUCGGCCACACUGGAACUGAGACACGGUCCAGACUCCUACGGGAGGCAGCAGUAGGGAAUCUUCCGCAAUGGGCGAAAGCCUGACGGAGCAACGCCGCGUGAGUGAUGAAGGUCUUCGGAUCGUAAAACUCUGUUAUUAGGGAAGAACAAACGUGUAAGUAACUGUGCACGUCUUGACGGUACCUAAUCAGAAAGCCACGGCUAACUACGUG
rnacentral:rRNA from 1 species